rnacentral:rRNA from 1 species
UACGUAGGGUGCAAGCGUUGUCCGGAAUUAUUGGGCGUAAAGAGCUCGUAGGCGGUUUGUCGCGUCUGCUGCGAAAUCCCGAGGCUCAACCUCGGGUCUGCAGUGGGUACGGGCAGACUAGAGUGUGGUAGGGGAGAUUGGAAUUCCUGGUGUAGCGGUGGAAUGCGCAGAUAUCAGGAGGAACACCGGUGGCGAAGGCGGGUCUCUGGGCCGAUACUGACGCUGAGGAGCGAAAGCAUGGGUAGCGAACAGG